GAAGGGGCGAUUCUGAGUUUAGUUGAACAUGUUAAUAUACCUUUGGAAUAUUCAAGAAGAAGUUUCCAGAAGGUGGGAAAUGGUGCUCAGAGGACAGGUUUGGGUUGGAGCGAGUAAUACUUUAGUUAUACCCAUUUUAGGAAUUAAUUGAAAUCAUGGACCUCCAUGUGAAAGGGUUUUGGGAGAGAAGAGACUUGGAAGAGAAGAAACCUAGGACCAGGCCUGGAGGACUGGGCAGAGGAAAAUGGGGCCUGCGCAGACCACUGAGAGGUUUUUGUCAGAGAGGUAGAAAGGGAACAGAAAAGUGGCUUGUUAUGGGAGCAAGCGGUUAGAGUAUUUAAAAAAUUAGAUAAUUCACAGAGGUGCUGAUAAUUGUUGAAAAGUCAAAGGAGAAGUGUGAUAGUCUCCAAAGAUGGCCCCAGGGAACUUUGUCUCCUGAAAUCCACACCUUUGCGUAGUGACACUGAAUGGGGGCUGGACCUGUUCAAUCACCAGACUGAAGCAGAGGGCCCACUACGUGACUAUCAAAGCCACAGAAAUCCUUGCAACAUCCACCUUGGUCUCCUGAAAUACUUGCUCAGUGCCAUGCCAGACCCCACGUAAGAAGUCUAUUUACCCAUAAACCACCAUGCUGUGAGGAAGCCCAAGCUAACCAUGUGAAGGUACCCUACAGAAGGGCAAAGAGCGAGAAGGAGAGAUCCCAGUCUCCAGUUGUUCCAGUGAUCCAACCUGGAACAGCCAUGUGAAGCCAUGUGAAGAAAGAAGCCAUCUGGGAGGUGAGGCCUUCAGAUGACACCAGCCCCGUAAGAGGCUCCAAGUGAGAACUGCUCAGCUGAUUCCAGUCAAUCCAUGGAACUGCGAGAGGUGCCUUCAGCUGAAUGUAAGAAGUCCAGAUAUCACGAGGCCACCAUGUGGACAGACUACUUAGAGGAACCAGAGAGAGAGAGCUGCCUGAGCAUCAUUGCCAGCACCUGCUUGUUUGAAUCUUCCCAGCCCAGAUAUAUGACGGAAAAAACUUCAAGAUGUCCAUUGGACAGCAACCACAAGAAAGACCCGGAGUGAGAACUCCUAAGCUGAGAUCCCACUCUUUCAGAUUCCAAAGCCAAAUAAAUAAUUAUUAAUGUUUUGAGCCACUGUCUUUGUGUGGUCCUUUAUACAACGAUAACGGCCUGGAACAGGGUGGUUCAGAAAGGUUUCUUUGUGGAGAUGACGCUUAUGCUGAAGACCUC
rnacentral:lncRNA from 1 species